AAGGCACAGCCCAGGCUGGUUAAAUCUCAAAACUUAUAUUAAGCAUUUCCUGCCUGGUCUCCAGGAGCUGUGGGCAGCAUUUUCCAUGCUGGAAAACAGGCUGGAGGAGGGAUGUGUGCCCUCCACCUGGAGCUGUGGGGGCUGCAGUGACUCACUGAUAUCAGGGGGCUGCCCAGAAAGGACCUGUGGAUGUUUAAUGUUGCAAAGGCUUCUGGAGGUUUUACAUAACUGUAAAAAAAAAAAAAAGGCAGAUUUCAGAGUUUACUCUAAAUGAAAAAGGGAGGGAUGAUUGUCUCUGACUGGUCAUGGAUUCAUUUUUUAAUUGUGUACCCACAAUGUGUUGUCAUGCAAGAAAAAUCUAACCCUUACAAAAACUCAUUUCAGAAUGAGUAACUGCAACAUUUUUUCAGUCAUUGUCUAAGAGGGCUGUUGCUGGACUGCUGGGGCUUCCCUUCUCACCAGAAUGAUAUUCUGGUGUAAUUAAUGGGGCAUUUGGGCUCUGAUAGCUUUUGCUUCCAUCUAGUUUCUCAUGAAAACCCUCCUGAUGCCUCUCAGAUCUUCAUGAAGGAUGUUCCAGGGAUGUUCCAGGCUGAAGGCAGGAAGGGGACACAGCACCAUGUGGGAAAUGCAGUGGCACAGACCUUGAUGCAUGUUGUGGUGAGCUAUUUUAAGAUUUUAUCUCGCUAGCCUCUGACAAAAAUGUGCUAUGGAGCAGAGCUUAUCAUGUGCAAUUUGGCACAUGGGGCUAGUGAGGGGACAGUGGAGCUGAUCCCUGGAGCUGAGGCAGGUGACACAGAGCCAGCAGAGCAGCAGUGGUGGGUGCUGCUGGUACAGAUGUGUGUGCCACAGGAGAUGGGCAUGGACAGGGUCCAAUCCAGCCAGCAAAAGCCAGGUAUCUGAGCCAAAAUCCCAGGCCAGGUCUGAAUCAGGGGAGUGCCAGCUUUGCUGUGCUCCUGGCUUCCUGGUGUCACCCAGAGCAUGAGGAUGGACUUCAGCUGGGACCUUCCAGUUUCUAAACUUUGGAUCUUCUAAACAGGGUUGGUUGGUCAGAUGAAUGAUGCUGCC
rnacentral:lncRNA from 1 species